rnacentral:rRNA from 1 species
GAUGAACGCUAGCGGCAGGCCUAAUACAUGCAAGUCGAACGGUGUCUUCGGACAUAGUGGCGCACGGGUGCGUAACACGUAUGCAACCUACCUUACAUUGGGGGAUAGCCUUUCGAAAGGGAGAUUAAUACCGCAUAAGACAGUAGCUGGGCAUCCAGCAGCUGUUAAAGAUUUAUCGAUGUAAGAUGGGCAUGCGUCCAAUUAGUUAGUUGGCAAGGUAACGGCUCACCAAGACUUUGAUUGGUAGGGGAACUGAGAGGUCAAUCCCCCACACUGGCACUGAGAUACGGGCCAGACUCCUACGGGAGGCAGCAGUAGGGAAUAUUGGGCAAUGGACGCAAGUCUGACCCAGCCAUGCCGCGUGCAGGAUGAAGGCGUUAUGCGUUGUAAACUGCUUUUAUACAGGAAGAAACGACUCUUGCGAGAGGCAUUGACGGUACUGUAUGAAUAAGCACCGGCUAACUCCGUGCCAGCCGCCGCGGUAAUAC